rnacentral:rRNA from 1 species
ACCCGCUGAACUUAAGCAUAUCAAUAAGCGGAGGAAAAGAAACUAACAAGGAUUCCCCUAGUAACUGCGAGUGAAGCGGGAAAAGCUCAAAUUUAAAAUCUGGUAGUCUUUGGCUGCCCGAGUUGUAAUCUAGAGAAGUGUUACCCGUGCUGGACCGUGUACAAGUCUCCUGGAAUGGAGCGUCAUAGAUGGUGAGAAUCCCGUCUUUGACACGGACUCCCAGUGCUUUUGUGGUGCGCUCUCAACGAGUCGAGUUGUUUGGGAAUGCAGCUCAAAAUGGGUGGUGAAUUCCAUCUAAAGCUAAAUAUUGGCGAGAGACCGAUAACGAACAAGUACCGUGAGGGAAAGAUGAAAAGAACUUUGGAAAGAGAGUUAAACAGUACGUGAAAUUGUUGAAAGGGAAACGCUUGAAGUCAGUCGCGUUGUCCAGAAAUCAACCUUGGUUCUCCUGGGUGUACUUUCUAGUUCAACGGGUCAGCAUCAGUUUUGAUCGAUGGAGAAAGUCCAAGGGAAUGUGGCAUCUUCGGAUGUGUUAUAGCCCUCGGUCGUAUGCAUCGGUUGGGACUGAGGAAUUCAGCACGCCGCCAGUCCGGGGUUCGCCCACGUACGUGCUUAGGAUGCUAGCAUAAUGGCUUU